rnacentral:rRNA from 1 species
AACUCUGAGCGGUGGAUCACUCGGCUCGUGCGUCGAUGAAGAGCGCAGCCAACUGCGUGAAUUAGUGUGAAUUGCAGGAUAUCUUGA